rnacentral:sRNA from 1 species
UCGGGACGCCGGACUGGCGGUCGUCGGCGC